rnacentral:misc_RNA from 1 species
GAUGAAGAACGUAGCGAAAUGCGAUAAGUAGUGUGAAUUGCAGAAUUCAGUGAAUCAUCGAAUCUUUGAACGCACAUUGCGCCCCUUGGUAUCCCGAGGGGCAUGCCUGUUCGAGCGUCAUUUCACCACUCAAGCCUGGCUUGGUGUUGGGCGACGUCCUCUUUGGGGACGCGCCUCGAAACGCUCGGCGGCGUGGCACCGGCUUUAAGCGUAGCAGAAUCUUUCGCUUAGGAAGUCGGGGCCCCGUCUGCCGGAAGACCUGCUCGCAAGGUUGACCUCGGAUCAGGCAGGGAUACCCGCUGAACUUAAGCAUAUCAAUAAGCGGAGGA